UCUUCCUGAGGAGUCAUCUUCCCACGUUUGAGGCCAGGGUGCAGGUUCUACAUUUUCUAUCAGAGGGGCGCCAAUGAUUCUUUAGCCAUUUACAAGUGCACUUUCUCAUGUGUGAACAUCAACGCCAUUAGCAGGCGCCUAAAUCGAAUAAGAAAGAAGGUGAACCGAAGAGAAGAGGGUAUCGUAUAAUCUAGAGAGGAUUUUGUCUCGUGCAGAUAACCUGGUUUGAUGGCUCCGAUCGAGAAGCAGAAAUGAGAGCAACCUAAUUCAUCGGUAGUAUAUGAGCAAGAGAGAUAUUAUAUGAACAGCCUUUCAGCAGAGAUGAAAAAGAAGGGAGGAUAAAUGGUCCAAAGGCUUUAGUAUUUUGUAGUGGAGGAGCCAUAGAAAAGAAGUAAGGAGACAGAUGAGCCUAAGUGACGUGGACGCCACCACCAACUUUCUCUAUGGUGACUCCACUAAACGACUUAUCUUCGCUCCUCCUGGCUCGUGCCCCGAUGCACGCACACGCACUUGCACUUAAGAUAAGUCCCCACCCAUUUGCCUUUUUUAUUUUCUUUCCUUUUGUUAAAUUUCCUACGAUGCACCCAUCCUCCCGAAAAAGAAAGGAGGACUGCAUGUAACGUUACACGCAUAUGCAUGCAUACAUAUACAUACAUACAUACAUACAUAUAUGCCCUUAUCUGCAUGCACCCAUCUCACAAAAAAAAAAAGAGACGAGGACUGCAUGUAACAUUACACACUUAUGCAUGCAUACAUAUAUAUAUAUAUGUUUCCAUCUACGUGCACCCAUCCUCACAAAAAAAAAAAAGAGAAUAAGAAAAGAGGACUGCAUGUAUAUGUAUAUAUAUGUAUGCUUGGGUGCUAUAUCGUAUCUAUUGUGUAAGUCUAUGCGAGCUUGACUACGUCCAUGGAACUUUUGUUGGGAAAUGCAUCUUGAGUGUGCUGUUCUGGUGUACAUUCUGAAGUUUUAGUGACUAUAUAUAUAGGUUUCAAAGAACAUUAUAAGACAAAAAAAAACAUUAUAAGACACUAUUACCUCUAAUUCAAUUAUUUUUUUUCCCGAUAGAUCACUGGUUUGAAUCCUUGGAAGAAUUAAUCCGAGUCUAUCAGACCAAAGGAUAUAUAUAUAUAUAUAUGUAUGUGUUCGCAUAUAUGCCUGACCAUGUGUCACGAGUCUCACCACAUGUCUGCAUUUACCUAUAUACAUAUACAUAUAUAUAUGGCUUAUUUGACGUGUAUGUCACAUGAAAUUGUUUUUGUUUGUGCAUAACGGAGCAUAUAUAUAUAUAUAUAUAUAUAUAAACUAUAGUUGAUUGAGCAUACGGGCUGUGAAUAUUCCGAUCAUGCGCGCACCUAAGGUGUGUACGUGUGCCCAUAUAAAACCCUUACGAAUGUGCUUGAAUCAUGAAUAGUAUCGCCCUGUGGGAUAAUAUAAUAAGAUUCGCAUGAUAAUACAUAUAUUCAUUUGUUUGCUUAGACAAGUGAUAAGAUUAUUUAUUCCCCAUUUGCGAUAUCUUUGUCUACUUGUAGGAUUAGUGUUCUUUUUUAAAAAACGCUAAUAAGGACUGAAUUCUUUUAGUAAGUCAUCCUGAAAGCUUGCAGCCACUAUGAGAUUGUCUAAGUCUUUUCCCUGUGAAACUUCCCACUUCUUUUUUACAUAUCGUUCCCCAUGUUAAAUUAGUAACUACAUUAUGUGUGUGUGUAUGUAUGUAUGUAUGUGUGUGUGUGUAUAUAUAUACGAGUAUAUCAAACCCAAUGUUCUUUUUCUUCAUAUAAAUUUUCUUGGUUAGGCUAGCGGGUAAAUCUUGGGUUUUCUCAGAUUAUCAAUACGUUUUUUAGUUUGUUGUUAACUUUGUGGCCAUUUAUGUCAACUAAAACUAAAGGGUACGGUUAGACCGACAGAAUUUAACUUUAUUUUCUAGAUAAGCUUUUAUUUUGGUGGUUACUAAAAUUUUAUAUAAUACUAAGAAUAUAUAUAUAUAUAUGAUAUAUUAUGUUUUGAAUUUAAUUAUUUGUUAUAAUUAUGCAAACUAUGUAAGGUUAUCUGUUUGUUUGAAGGCUAACAUGAUGGAAUUGAGGUAAAUAUAGCAUUUUGAUUUGAUUAUUCUAAUAACCAGUAAGAACGUAUGAAAGUGCAAUCGGUCGUGCAUAUAGACAAAUCAUGUUCCCCCAAAUGUAGGGCAAUUAGAGGUUAACCAUAUAGGUGGGUGUGAGAUUUAGUUAUAUCGUAUCAUGAAGUGCUCGAGGGUCACUUCGCAACCGUACGAUUCGGAGAGGAUUUAGAAAAUUGGUGGAAAAUUGAAUCAUUUUUCGCCAUUUUAAGUAUUUGGCAAAAAAAAAAUCAAGGGUUUUAACUGUUUAUAAAUUAAUAUUCAUCGUAUACGCAGUGAAUUAGGUUAGGAUUGUUGUAUGUUAAUUGCUUCUAUAAACAGCUGUAUCUACUUCGGACAAAAUUGUCUAUUGCAAAAGAUUAUGAUAAUUCUUUCACAUCUUAGAUUAUUCCUCUGCUUGGAAUUUCAGACACAAUGCGCAUUUGUUACUUUGGAUAGUGUCUAAAUUCUUACAGAUUAUAACCCAAAAAAAAAAAACGAAGCAAAGAGCUUUGUGUUAUUUAUACCACGUGGAAAAAUGUUGUCCAGUUAAGCAGUCACUAAACCAAAGUGUAGACUGUGGAUCGUGGCGUGGGGAGAUAAGGCUUUCAUCAUCCAUAUUUUAAUUUUUAACACUGUUUGUUUCUAUCGGUCGCACAUAUUUUAUAAAAAAUAUAUAUUAUUUUCUUUAUCA